AUUGAACGCUGGCGGCAUGCCUUACACAUGCAAGUCGAACGGUAACGCGGGGCAACCUGGCGACGAGUGGCGAACGGGUGAGUAAUAUAUCGGAACGUACCUUUCAGUGGGGGAUAACGUAGCGAAAGUUACGCUAAUACCGCAUAUUCUGUGAGCAGGAAAGCAGGGGAUCGCAAGACCUUGCGCUGAUGGAGCGGCCGAUGUCAGAUUAGCUAGUUGGUGGGGUAAAGGCUCACCAAGGCGACGAUCUGUAGCGGGUCUUAGAGGAUGAUCCGCCACACUGGAACUGAGACACGGUCCAGACACCUACGGGUGGCAG
rnacentral:rRNA from 1 species